rnacentral:rRNA from 1 species
ACAUGGCAACUCGAACGCUAGCUUCGGGUCGAGUGGGGCACGGGUGAGUAACGCGUGGGAAUCUGCCCUGUGGUACGGAAUAACAUCGGGAAACUGGUGCUAAUACCGUAUAUCCCCUGAGGGGGAAAGAUUUAUCGCCAUGGGAGGAGCCCGCGUAGGAUUAGCUAGUUGGUGAGGUAACGGCUCACCAAGGCGACGAUCCUUAGCUGGUCUGAGAGGAUGAUCAGCCACACUGGGACUGAGAUACGGCCCAGACUCCUACGGGAGGCAGCAGUGGGGAAUAUUGGACAAUGGGGGAAACCCUGAUCCAGCCAUGCCGCGUGUGUGAUGAAGGCCUUCGGGUUGUAAAGCACUUUCGCACGUGACGAUAAUGACGGUAACGUGAGAAGAAGCCCCGGCUAACUUCGUGCCAGCAGCCGCGGUAAUACGGAGGGAGCUAGCGUUAUUCGGAAUUACU